AAAAAUUGUAAAAAAUAAUUUUAAGAAAGAAUUUUUAACAAGGAGCAAAAAUAUUCAGACAAGCUCUUCACAAAAUAUUGUGUUGAGGUGAAAUUGGCAAUCGGAUGACCCGAACUGGCAUCCGAAAUCGAAGAAAUUGAAGCUCCAGCAGUUGGGUGACUACUGUUGUGAUACGAAAUCCAAUUGUGAAGGAAUAUUAGCAAAAAGACAAGGUCAGCAGAUGAUGACGAUGAUGAAGAAGUAUUACAUUGCAUAUAAAUUAAGGCAAAAUAUUUAAUGAGAAAUAGAGAAGCUGCUCGUAAGUUUAUUCGCCAACAGAAGAAGAAAAACUCAGGGCCUUCCCUUCAAAAUUGCAAAGGGAAGAGCGUAUUGGAGCCGUCAAACAGUCAUACAUACCAAAUGGAUGAUGAUCAGGUUUGGUUUUCCUCAAUCAUUAGAGAAACUGUAGAUGGUAUGAAAUCCAAUUGCCAUGGAAAAUUGGCAAAUAGACCAGGUCAACAGAUGAUGAUGAUGGUGAAGAAGUACUCUAUUGCAAAUAAAAUUUAGGAAAAAUAUUUAAUGAGAAAUAGAGAAGCUGCUCGUAUGUUUAUUCGCCAACAGAAGCCAACAGAAGAAGAAGAAAAACUCAGGAACUUCCCUUCAAAUUUGCAAAGGGAAGAGCGUGUUGGAGCCGUCAAACAGUAGCACAUACCAAAUGGAUGUUGAUCAGGCCCCGGCAGUUCACUUCGAAGAGGGAAUAAUUAUGAACAUCCUUAGCAGGUUACCUGUGCGAACUCUUCAUCAACUCAAAUGUGUUUCAAAAUUUUGGAAUGCAUUGAUCUCCGAUCCUUACUUUAAGAUGAAGCAUUUCAAGCAUGCCAAGAAUGACCAAAAUUCCCAAAAAAUCCUCAUUACCCACAUGCUCCAGAAUGGAAGUAAAUUUUUGAGCUACUGUUGUCCUUUAUCGUCGGUUCAAAUGGCUGAGGAUGCAGAAAAACUUGACCGCCCUUUAAGCUCUAAACCAUUUUUUAGAGUCAUGUGUACUUGCGAUGGCUUGGUUGUUGUCAUAGUUUCUGAUAUUAUGGAUGAUACACGCCCCAUACAUUUGCUAUGGAACCCCUCCAUAAGAGAAUCAAUAGUACUUCCCGCUCCAGAGUCUGAAAAAGUCUAUUCUACUCGUUAUGGAUUUGGUUAUGACUCAACUAGCGUUGACUAUAAGAUCCUUAGAACUUGCAGCGUAUCUACUGAAAUUCUUGCAUUGAAAGAUAGUUCCUGGAGAAAAAUCGAUAAACAUCUUCAUGGUGUUCGCGACUCAUUGUUUAGUACUAGUUCUUUGGCAUUUGUACAUGAGGCAUAGAUCGGGAGACUAUUACUCAGGAGACUAUUACUCAAGAGUGAGUUCUCUGGUUUCAUUUAGUAUUUCCAAGGAAAUGUAUGGAGAGAUACCCGUGUCGACGGAAAUAUUAUUAUCCUUUGUGGGCUACAAUUAUGUUGGCAUUUCAGUAUUGGGCGGAAUGCUAUGUGUUAAUUCUGGUACUGGUUUGGGGGGGGGGGGGGGGGGGGGCUUUUAAGUUGUGGUUAUUGAAAGACUAUGGUGUCGAGGAAUCUUGGAUUGCGUUGCUCACUAUAGAAGAUCCCGCGAUUCAUAGACUCUUACCAAAAUAUAGGUUUGCUGAUGGUGAAGUGCUAAUCUAUUUCGCAUAUAUUCCAAGUGGUGGUGUUAGGCUUACCUUGUUAAGAAAAAAAAUUCCAAGUGGUGGGGCUGUAUUUCGUACAGCCAGUGGACCAUUUGUUUCAUGGCUACAAGCUGGCCUUCUCAACGGAGAGAAUUUUACAGAAAGCUUGAUCUCUCCAAAAUCACUUACAGAGAUGGUCCGCGAAGACAAACUCUCUUCCUCCACGAGGUAGAGAGAAGGCCUGCAUAUACUCUUCCUUCCUCAGAACCCACUUGUGAGAUUUAACUGGUCCUUGAAGAUGACAAUCACUUUCGCGACCUUCUUUGGUUUGGACUCCUCGUAAUCAUUGCGGUUGAAUUUUCAGGCCAUCGGGCUCAAGAUGAUGACAGAGGUGUGCGUUGAUUGGUUUCUAUUUUUGUGCGCCUUCUGAGUCAUGUACGCAAGUAAGUUGGUUUAAGUUCGACUUUCCUCACUUUAGGCACUUCGGCCUUUUCGUAUCUCAUUAUAUCGAGGAGGUAUCUAUUAGACCCUCAGCGUGAUGGUUCGGGCAGCUCGGGCUUGGCUAGGGAUUUACAUGAUCAACCUAGCCAAGAACAAAUGGUUCGGGCUAAAGUUAUGUUUGCUUGAGGCCAGUUUGCCGACAUGAGCAUGUAAGCAUGGCAUGACAAGACCUUGGCAGUGGCGUGGCUAAGGCAUGACAAACUAAGGCUGAUUUAAGCUAAGUCAAGUCAUGUUGCAGAGUUGUGGCUAAGCCAAGGCAAGCUGGGCUAGACGUGGCUGGAACAGGGCGACUUGGGUGCUGACAAGGCCAGUGGCAUGGGCGAAUGCACAGACACCCAGUGCACUAGUGCGAAAUUGACUAAAGUGUGUGCUGGCACUAGGCGUGUGCCUUGCACAUGACCGUAGUUGGGCAGUUACAACCGUCUUGGAAAUGUGGCAAAGCUUUGUUGUUGUUGGAAUUUGAAUCCUAUCAGUUGGGAAUGUCAACUGAAUUAAGAUAGGAUAAUGUGCUGGAAAUGUGACAAGAGUGGUGGCCUAUAAAUAGGCACAUACAUGUUGUCUCAGGGUUUGUUUGGGAAGAGCAUAUUGGAGCCGUCAAACAGUCACACAUACCAAAUGGAUGUUGAUCAGGUCCCGGCAGUUCACUUCGAAGAGGGAAUAAUUAUGAACAUCCCUUAGCAGGUUACCUGUGCGAACUCUCCAUCAAUUCAAAUGUGUUACAAAAUUUUGGAAUGCAUUAAUCUCCGAUCCUUACUUUAAGAUGAAGCAUUUCAAGCAUGCCAAGAAUGACCGAAAUUCCCAAAAAAUCCUCAUUACCCACAUGCUCCAGAAUGGAAGUAAAUUUUUGAGCUACUGUUGUCCUUUAUCGUCGGUUCAAAUGGCUGAGGAUGCAGAAAAACUUGACCGCCCUUUAAGCUCUAAACCAUUUUUUAGAGUCAUGUGUACUUGCGAUGGCUUGGUUGUUGUCAUAGUUUCUGAUAUUAUGGAUGAUACACGCCCCAUACAUUUGCUAUGGAACCCCUCCAUAAGAGAAUCAAUAGUACUUCCCGCUCCAGAGUCUGAAAAAGUCUAUUCUACUCGUUAUGGAUUUGGUUAUGACUCAACUAGCAUUGACUAUAAGAUCCUUAGAACUUGCAGUGUAUCUACUGAAAUUCUUGCAUUGAAAGAUGGUUUCUGGAGAAAAAUCGAUAAAUAUCCUCAUGGUGUU